GAUGAACGCUGGCGGCGUGCCUAAUACAUGCAAGUCGAGCGAACAGACGAGGAGCUUGCUCCUCUGACGUUAGCGGCGGACGGGUGAGUAACACGUGGAUAACCUACCUAUAAGACUGGGAUAACUUCGGGAAACCGGAGCUAAUACCGGAUAAUAUAUUGAACCGCAUGGUUCAAUAGUGAAAGACGGUUUUGCUGUCGCUUAUAGAUGGAUCCGCGCCGCAUUAGCUAGUUGGUAAGGUAACGGCUUACCAAGGCGACGAUGCGUAGCCGACCUGAGAGGGUGAUCGGCCACACUGGAACUGAGACACGGUCCAGACUCCUACGGGAGGCGGCAGUAGGGAAUCUUCCGCAAUGGGCGAAAGCCUGACGGAGCAACGCCGCGUGAGUGAUGAAGGUCUUCGGAUCGUAAAACUCUGUUAUUAGGGAAGAACAAAUGUGUAAGUAACUAUGCACGUCUUGACGGUACCUAAUCAGAAAGCCACGGCUAACUACGUG
rnacentral:rRNA from 1 species